GGAGAGAUCGCAUAGUGGCCUAGUGCGCACGCUUGGAAAGCGUGUAUACCGCAAGGUAUCGGGGGUUCGAAUCCCCCUCUCUCCGCCA
rnacentral:tRNA from 1 species